UCAACUUUGACGUUUUCGGCUGUCACAUAGAGACAGAUUAACAUCUUCAUUGCAUAUUUAGCGGAGAUUGUCGAUGUCCAGGCACGCUUUCCCUCUCGGAGGGUCGAUUCUAUUUGCCAACCUGUUUCAUCAAGGGUGACUCUCUGCAGACGCGGUCUCAGCCUCUUGAUCUUCUACAUCAUCUACAUGAUAGGAAUGAUCCUGGUGUUUGGUGUGGCCCCUUUGGUGGUUAGUCUGUUCAGUGUGUUCAGUCUAAUCAAGCAGCUGAGGAAGUUCUGGAGGCAGUUCCUAAAGUUCAUCAAUAGGAGGAAGAGGAGAAAGGGCAUGUGGUUGCCUCUACCAAACGACCAGCUCCCAAGUACAGCCAAGGUGCACAGACGUCGAGGUCAGAGGUGCCCUAGCAUCUACAGUGGCCCCAUCUCUGUGCUGCACCUGAACCAGACAGAGGACCAAGACACUAAGGAAGAGGCUAGACCAGGACACACAGCUGGAACAAAGACACAUUCACAGACCAAGACACAGCAAGCGACUGGACAGGAAGGGUCUGACAAGGAUGUGAACCAGAAUGGACAUGGAGAUGUCUCUACCUCGAGGAACCCAAAAGCCAGUCUGAAAAGAGACACCAUUCCACAGACAACCAGCCAUCCAAGCAGAAGCAAGAACAGAUGCAGCCGCAGGAACCAAUGAAGUGCAAACAACCACCGCCUGUGCUUCCAUCAAAGGGAUAUUUAUUGCUAUCUUUUUAUUUAAAAGAAACUCAUGCAGUUUACUGCAAACAAACUCUUUCUCUUUGUGAUCCUUUUUAUAUGAACAUAUUUAAAAAAUUAUUCAGAAAUAUCACAUGUAUUGUUAUCAAAUUAAGUAAAUAAAAAUCACAAAAAUAAUACAUUGUUAAAGAUGCUGUCAAAACAGAAUACAUUUUCAAACAUCUUGACACUACACAUUUACAACAAGUUCUCUCCCUGGACAUGUACAUCACGCUCAUACUGCAUGUCAUCC
ensembl:lncRNA